AGAGUUUUGAUUCUGGCUCAGGACGAACGCUGGCGGCGUGCUUUACACAUGCAAGUCGAACGGAAAGGCCCUGCUUUUGUGGGGUGCUCGAGUGGCGAACGGGUGAGUAACACGUGAGUAACCUGCCCUUGACUUUGGGAUAACUUCAGGAAACUGGGGCUAAUACCGGAUAGGAGCUCCUGCUGCAUGGUGGGGGUUGGAAAGUUUCGGCGGUUGGGGAUGGACUCGCGGCUUAUCAGCUUGUUGGUGGGGUAGUGGCUUACCAAGGCUUUGACGGGUAGCCGGCCUGAGAGGGUGACCGGCCACAUUGGGACUGAGAUACGGCCCAGGCUCCUAGGGAGGCAGCAGUGGGGAAUAUUGCACAAUGGGCGGAAGCCUGAUGCAGCAACGCCUGCGUGCGGGAUGACGGCCUUUCGGGUUGUAAACCGCUUUC
rnacentral:rRNA from 1 species